rnacentral:rRNA from 1 species
GACGAACGCUGGCGGCGUGCCUAACACAUGCAAGUCGAGCGGAGAUGAUGUGAGGAAGUUUUCGGAUGGAAUCACAUUAUUUUAGCGGCGGACGGGUGAGUAACGCGUGAGCGACCAACCUUGCACAGGGGGAUAACGGACCGAAAGGUUCACUAAUACCGCAUGAGACCACGGUGUUGCAUGACACAGAGGUCAAAGGAGGAAUCCGGUGCAAGACGGGCUCGCGUCCGAUUAGGUAGUUGGAGGGGUAACGGCCCACCAAGCCUAUGAUCGGUAGCCGACCUUGGAGAGUGAUCGGCCACAUUGGAACUGAGAUACGGUCCAAACUCCUACGGGAGGCAGCAGUGGGGAAUAUUGGGCAAUGGGGGAAACCCUGACCCAGCAACGCCGCGUGAAGGAAGAAGGUUUUCGGAUUGUAAACUUCUGUCCUUGGUGAAGAGAAGAAGACGGUAGCCAAGGAGGAAGCCCCGGCUAACUACGUGCCAGCCGCCGCCGUAA